rnacentral:tRNA from 1 species
UGGGAUAGAGCUCAGGGGCAGAGCGCAUGCUUAGCAUGCAUGAGGUCCUGCGUUCAAUCCCCAGUACCUCCA